UGAUCAAUACGUAACUUGAAUGAA
rnacentral:siRNA from 1 species